UGUAAUUGGUUGCAAAUUUCAAUUGACAUUAAAUUUUAUAUAGAAAUUUGAGAACAUCACUUAUUAUGAAACAAAAUAAAAAUGUUUAAACAUCAUUUAAAAUGGUACGAAGGAAGUAAUAAAAAAUAUUGGGAAGCGUAGAAAUUAAGUGUAUGGUUUACCUUUUCUGGUUCCUAAAGAGACCGGUGAAAACUGGCGGUUGCGAUUUACGAACUUACGAGGACAUCGACAUGUUAUUAAGAUCAAAUACCAAUGUAAUAAAUGCAAAUAAAUGACACUGUUUUGUGUUGCGAUCAAUUAGAGUGUGACUGAAUAGUCAUUUUGGAGUAAAUAUUCUAGAGUAAAAUUGUUUUACUCUAUUUCGUGCUUAAUAUUUACCAAUCAGGUUGAAAAGUAGUGGUAGAAAUUAUUUCACUAGCUUUGAGUGGAGUAAACAUUUACUCUCAUUUCUUCUUUGUCUGUUCAUUUUCUUUCUUCCAUGUUUUGUUCCUCUUAAUUACGCCGACAAUUUACAAUCACACGUUAUAAAUUAGAGAUCUCAUACUUUCACGGGAUUAAAUUUCCGAUCGCAUAUACAUGACAUCACGACUUGCCCUGGAAAUAUCUUGACUAGUUUUUUUUUCUUUUUUCUUGACUAGUUGUUUAUUGGGUUAAUUUGCAAAGUGACAAUAUUGGAAAAAAUAUUAGUUUUGUAGUAAGAGGAUAGAGAGAAGUAAAAAAAAAAAAAAAGAGAAAAAAGAUACUAAUAUGGUUAGUCGGUGAAAUAUAGAUUUUUUUUUGGUUAUAUGCUCAAAGUUCCCCUCUUUUUAUUUCUCUGUCGUCGUUAUUUACUUAUCAAUGGAGUUCAAAUAAUUGGGGGAGGUGUGAUGAUGAUUAGAGAAUGAAGAAACCCAAACUGGAAGUCAAAUCGGACAAAAGUACUGAUGGGGCCAACGCCAUAACUGAGAGACACUACGUUGAUUCGUUGAAGGAUAAACUUGUCAAUUACAUCUACUUUCCUAAGCCUGAAUUAAUAGUCCCACGUGGGGUCUAGUUCACGUGAACUUCACAUGCCUUUCAUGCCUCUUUGGUCAUUCUAUGGAUCCCAUUUUUACUCUCUUGUUGUUUUCCUUUUAAUUGACAAGCUUCGUGGAAAAUGUUUUUUGAUUGUUUCGUACCGUUCUAUCCUUCUUUGAGCAUGCGCAGUGGUCUGUAUAUAAGAGAGUUUCUAAACAAAAAUAAUAAGAAAAAGAAAAGUAUGGGAGAGGGAGUAGAAACAGAGAGAAACGUCUUUUCUUGAAGAAACGUCUUUUCUUGAAGAAACGUUCACCGAACUUUGAGUAGUGGGAAGGUACCCUUCACGACGUACUCUUCACUAAUGAUGUCCUUAGCUUCCUAAUGGUAAUUGAGGAUUGAACGGUAGGGGACAAGCGGUUCAACUGCGGUGCGAUUCUAACAGUUAUAUAGUACUGUUAACUGCGGUGCGAGGCAGAAAGCGGUUAAUCGCAUGUGCCAGCUCAGACGGUCACAUGAUAAAGACACGUGGGACCACACCCCGAACCGAACCCAUUUCCGAGCCACUUUGAUUAUUUUUGGAAAUGCACGUAGCCGCAUGUGCGAGGGAUUCUGUCAGCAGUGCACGAUGUUGGUUCCUCCAACUUUCAUCAGACGGCUGUGACUGGUUGUCUCACUGGCAGUACUAUAUGGGAAGUCAUCGAAUUUAGGGCGAUUUAUUAUUUGACAGUUGAGGAGAUGAAGCGUUAUGGGGCAAAACGAGGGGGACACACGUGUGCUUCGCUGUCUUAUGAUUCGGAAUCGAGUGUAGAACUUCGAGCUCCACGUCCCUUCCACGUGAAGGUGGUGACGCUCGAACCAACUUGCUUUUAGUUUUCGACCCCUUCCUGUCCUUUUUACAUUAAUGUUCUUUCUUUAUCGAUCCCUUCGUGGUUUGCCCAUGUUUAUUUUUAUAUACUAUUAGUACAUGAGAACCCAUCUUAAACUCUUUGAAAUACUUGUGCAAAAGUGUUAUCAAAUGUAAUAACGUAUAUUUGAUGCGUUGCUAUA